rnacentral:rRNA from 1 species
GAUGAACGCUGGCGGCGUGCUUAACACAUGCAAGUCGAACGGAAAGGCUCCUGCUUUCAGGGGUACUCGAGUGGCGAACGGGUGAGUAACACGUGGGUGAUCUGCCCUGCACUUCGGGAUAAGCCUGGGAAACUGGGUCUAAUACCGGAUAGGAAGAUGGUUUGGAUGCCAUUGUUGAAAGUUUUUCGGCGUGGGAUGAGCUCGCGGCCUAUGAGCAUGUUGGUGGGGUAAUGGCCUACCAAGGCGUCGACAGGUAGCCGGCCUGAGAGGGUGUACGGCCACAUUGGGACUGAGAUACGGACGAGACUCAUACGGGAGGCAGCAGGGGGGAAUAUUGCACAAUGGGCGCAAGCCUGAUGCAGCGACGCCGCGUGGGGGAGGACGGCCGUCGGGUUGUAAACUCCUGUCGCUAGGGACGAAGCGCAAGUGACGGUACCUGGAGAAGAAGCACCGGCUAACUACGUG